rnacentral:rRNA from 1 species
CCUACGGGUGGCAGCAGUCGAGAAUCAUUCACAAUGGGGGAAACCCUGAUGGUGCGACGCCGCGUGGGGGAAUGAAGGUCUUCGGAUUGUAAACCCCUGUCAUGUGGGAGCAAAUUAAAAAGAUAGUACCACAAGAGGAAGAGACGGCUAACUCUGUGCCAGCAGCCGCGGUAAUACAGAGGUCUCAAGCGUUGUUCGGAAUCACUGGGCGUAAAGCGUGCGUAGGCUGUUUCGUAAGUCGUGUGUGAAAGGCGCGGGCUCAACCCGCGGACGGCACAUGAUACUGCGAGACGAGAGUAAGGGAGGGGGAACCGGAAUUCUCGGUGUAGCAGUGAAAUGCGUAGAUAUCGGGAGGAACACUCGUGGCGAAGGCGGGUUCCUGGACAUUAACUGACGCUGAGGCACGAAGGCCAGGGGAGCGAAAGGGAUUAGAUACCCGUGUAGUC